rnacentral:lncRNA from 1 species
ACAUAUAUUUAUACCUAUUAUUGUAUUGGUCAUACUAUACAAUGAUUCAUAGCUUGUCUUUGUUGAAAACUACAGAACAUAAAGAGCAUUAAAAAAUAAUUGGAUUUAAAUCGCAAUAUUGGUAAAAAAAAUAAAUAAAUAAAGCGCAAUUAGAUUAUUUUCCAAAAUUCUUCAGGUCACGAUCACUUUAAAACAAUCAGUUAAAUAUAUUUUACCCGGAUCAGUCACAAAAACACUGUUUUGUAUGUUUUUUAAAGCCUUUUGUUUUUCAGGGACACAGGAAGUGACCUCAUAAACCAUGUUUACAUUGUAGUACCCAGAGCCAUAUAGAGUGAGAGUUGCGACAACUCCAUUGACUCCAAUGGAACGCUUUUUUUUACAGCAAUGGCGGCUCGUGGAGCCUCUCAAUAGUUCCCGGAAGUAGCGGCAAACCGAUGCCGCGCCGUAGAAGAUGCAGCAGAACAAACCGUUUGCGACGCACUUUUAACAGGUGGAGGAUUAGUGGUGCCACUGAAGUGUUCUGUGAUGGAGCAUCAGUGAGGAUGCAGACCCUGGUAACUGGCUGAUGGUUCACAGGAAUGCUGACUGGCUGCUGACUGACUUGCUGCUGGUUGACUGGGCAGUGUCACCUGUC